AUCGCGCGACACUAAAGUAAUAAACAAAAUGCAUUUAAUAUCCACUGCGAAGCAGACAGUGCUCUCGGAUUUUGCUGAUCUAGAAACUAAGUCAACAUAUGUGCAUGCAAAUGGAGAAACGACAGAUUUUCAGUUUAAUGCGCAAAAAAAAGUGUUCGUCGAAGUUGAGAAAACAACAGGUCUAGCGGUGAUGCGCAUAAAGGAGAAGCAGGAGAAAGCUCCCGAAAUACAGCGCGUGCGCAAACUGACCAUCGAUAAUGCCUUCUGCGUGGGCUGUGCCAAGCAGAGCCUUGAGGAGAUUGCCGUUGGCCAGUCGACUGGGUUUGUGAAGCUUUACAACUAUCGAACGGCCCAGCUUAUACAUCGCUUUCCGGCGGAUCAGCCGCGCAGUACGGUGCUCUAUGUAGACUACAAUAGCACCGACGAGUAUAUAGCUGCAGUGCGGGAAUCGGGCAGCAUUAACAUCUACGGCACUAAGACCAAGAACAAAAUCGAGACGCUCACCUUUGAUGAUAAUGCAACUCUGGCACGUUUUCAUCCUGCUAAACGUUUUCAAUUGUCGGUGGCUUCGUACAAGGGCGCUGUCACUGUUUACGACAUGCAGUAUAAACGGAAGCUGCUUAAUAUUAAUGAUGCCCACGAUGCGCCAUGUCGGGAUAUAAGCAUGUGUAGUGCGCAACCGGCUUUGCUGGUCAGCGUUGGCUACGACUGCAAGAUUAACAUUUUUGACAUUCGACGCAGAGUGCAGGCGCCGUCUGGUCGUCUCAGCUACUCGCAUCCGUUGUCCACGGUGGCGUUGAGUGAGUGCGGCACAUAUUUCUGUGCCGGCAAUCUUAAGGGUGAGCUCAUUGCCUAUGAUAUGCGGAGCACAAAAUCGCCGCUGGCGGUCCGCAAUGUCCACGAAUGUGCUGUCACACGCAUCGCCUUUGUGCCCAUGUCCAAGGAGGAUUACUCAAGUAGUAGCUUGUCCAGCUCUAAUGUUAAUGUUACUGUUGAGGCAGAAACGCCAGGAACCGUGUCUACUGUUAAACCGGUGCAGGUGUUGGAGGCUGUGCCUACUGGUUGCGACGAUUUGCGCAAAUCUAUAGCUGCCAAUUUGCUCAGCACGCAGCAACAGCUAGAGGCCAUGAGCAGCUCCAUAGGCUAUGCCUCUAUUAUGGCUACGCCGGCAGCACCGCGCGCUCAACGUGACUCGUUUUGCGAUUUCUUUGAUGCCCAGGGCUAUAGGCAUUUGGAGCGCGUGUCUACGCGCUUUUCGCAACGACGUGACAGUUUCGAUUGGGAAACCCUGAACCGCAGGCCCAGCAAUGAGGAGCAGCGGCAGAGCAUCUGCCAAAUUGGCUCGGGUCUAACUUCCCUUGACAGUGCCAAUAGCUCGUCGGGGGAAUCCAGCGAUGGUAGCAAGCUGCAGCGCUUUACAGAAACGUUGAGCGGCCCCUUACGUGAUCGCAGCAACAUUUCUGGCGAGGCUAAGCUGCAGCAAAUUGCCGAGACCGAUGAGCAGUCAGCCAACUGUUCCCUCACCAGCAGCACGGGCACUGGCAGCGAUAAGGAGAAUCCCCAGCAAGUCGACUUGGACCUGAAACGCCACCUCCGUUUGCUCUCAGCUAGUCGCAACAGCACACCGCAUCAUGUGAAAUGUACGCCGCUAUCACAGCCACAGCAGCUGCUGCCGAAAAGCUCCAGUGGUCUUACUGCCUCCUCCGUUUCCGCGCUUGAAUGCAACACAGAUGUACGCAAGGAGCUGGGAGAGAUGCGUGAAUACUUUGAGGAGCGCUUCAAUCAAAUGGAACGCGAGUUCAAAUUUGUGAGCGAGAAAAACAAAUGGGAGAUUUUUACUCAGGCCUCCAAUUAUUGGAAUCAUCAGAUAGACAAUACGCGAGAAAUACGUGAUGCCUUAGCGAUGCUCCUCCAAACUGAUCAAUUUACACAAGAGUUUGUGCGCCUUCAGCUUGAAAAUGACAUGCUAAAGGCACAGCUGCAGAAAAUAGAGCAGGAACGCGAGGAAAAGGAAUGAUUUACAGAUUUUCGGGCUCUAAAUCUAGAUAUCAAUUGUCUGUUUUCAGUUAUUUCAUAAAUGGAAAUCAAUUCUGCUGCUUUAUGUAAUGAACUCAUUAUUAAGCAAUUUGUGUUACAUUGGUUUAUAAAUAAGUUGCACGUUCAUCUAUUUCAUGUUUCCAUUUGCAUUUGAAUUUGUGUCUAUGAGUUUUGAAAAUUGUUCAAAUCAUCAUGGUAUUGCAUUAUUCGAAAAAUGUGCUUGAGCUCACCACUUUACAAAAUAAAAUGUUUGAAAUACUUUUUAUAAAUCAA